AAUACUAUGUCUGAUUAAAGUAAUAAAUUGUAAAUUUAUUUAAGAAAAUUUUAAAUUUUUCUAGUAUUA
rnacentral:tRNA from 1 species